UACGUAGGGUGCAAGCGUUUGUCCGGAAUUAUUGGGCGUAAAGAGCUCGUAGGCGGUUUGUUGCGUCGGCUGUGAAAACCUGAGGCUCAACCUCAGGCCUGCAGUCGAUACGAGCAGACUAGAGUGUUGCAGGGAGACUGGAAUUCCUGGUGUAGCGGUGAAAUGCGCAGAUAUCAGGAGGAACACCGGUGGCGAAGGCGGGUCUCUGGGGCCGAUAUCGACGUGGAGGAGCGAAAAGCGUGGGGAGCGAAACAGG
rnacentral:rRNA from 1 species